AGCGCGGUAGCCUAGUGGUUAACGCUCGUGACUUUCAAUUUUGAGGUCGCGGGUUCAAUCCCCACUGAGGUCA